rnacentral:piRNA from 1 species
UGACUGAAAACUGCAACUGAAUGGAG